rnacentral:antisense_RNA from 1 species
GGGUGCCUGAUGCUUUCUGUCUCAGGUACGCGCUGAGCAGAAAGAGAAAAGGCCCCGAGUGAUUUUUCAAUCAACCCGAGGCCCCUCGUAUGCUAGACACAUGCAAGGUUAGCCUCUUACGCCGUCGAAAGCAAUAUCCGCUGCUGUCUAUA